GGAUUAGAUACCCUGGUAGUCCACGCUGUAAACGAUGAUCACUAGAUGUUAGGCUCUUAGAGCUUAGUAUCGCAGCUAACGCGAUAAGUGAUCCGCCUGAGGACUACGAUCGCAAGAUUAAAACUCAAAGGAAUUGACGGGGGUCCGCACAAGCGGUGGAACAUGUGGUUUAAUUCGUCACUACGCGAGAAACCUUACCUAGGCUUGACAUGUUUUUGACCGCUGUAGAAAUACAGCUUUCCAAGCUUUGCUUGGACAAUUGCACAGGUGCUGCAUGGCUGUCGUCAGCUCGUGCUG
rnacentral:rRNA from 1 species